UACAGAGGGGGCAAACGUUGCUCGGAAUUAUUGGGCGUAAAGCGCACGUAGGCGGCUUUGCAAGUCGGAUGUGAAAUCCCUCGGCUUAACCGGGGAACUGCGUCUGAUACUGGAUGGCUUGAGUUUGGGAGAGGGACGCGGAAUUCCAGGUGUAGCGGUGAAAUGCGUAGAUAUCUGGAGGAACACCGGUGGCGAAGGCGGCGUCCUGGACCAACACUGACACUGAUGAGCGAAAGCCAGGGGAGCAAACGGG
rnacentral:rRNA from 1 species